ACGGGUGAGUAACACGUGGGCAACCUGCCCUUGAGACUGGGAUAACUUCGGGAAACCGGAGCUAAUACCGGAUAAUACAAGGAACCUCCUGGUUCCUUGUUGAAAGAUGGUUUCGGCUAUCACUUAAGGAUGGGCCCGCGGCGCAUUAGCUAGUUGGUGAGGUAACGGCUCACCAAGGCGACGAUGCGUAGCCGACCUGAGAGGGUGAUCGGCCACACUGGGACUGAGACACGGCCCAGACUCCUACGGGAGGCAGCAGUAGGGAAUCUUCCACAAUGGACGAAAGUCUGAUGGAGCAACGCCGCGUGAGUGAUGAAGGCCUUCGGGUCGUAAAGCUCUGUUGUUAGGGAAGAACAAGUGCGAGAGUAACUGCUCGCACCUUGACGGUACCUAACCAGAAAGCCACGGCUAACUACGUGCCAGCAGCCGCGGUAAUACGUAGGUGGCAAGCGUUAUCCGGAAUUAUUGGGCGUAAAGCGCGCGCAGGUGGUUUCUUAAGUCUGAUGUGAAAGCCCACGGCUCAACCGUGGAGGGUCAUUGGAAACUGGGGAACUUGAGUGCAGAAGAGGAAAGUGGAAUUCC
rnacentral:rRNA from 1 species